GACAACUUCACCAGCACCAGCAGAGGCUUCAGCCUGGUUGCGGAUCGUCAUGCCAAGAGCAAGAGCAUUAGCGUCACAUUUCAUUGACAGCUUGCUGUCUUUGAAGGAAAGCUCGGCAACAUGGGUCAAGGUGUCUUCAAAGACAUUGGUGUUAGACACAAGUGAGAAUUCACCAUUGGCC